rnacentral:rRNA from 1 species
GGGGGCCCGCACAAGCGGUGGAGCAUGUGGUUUAAUUCGAUGCAACGCGAAGAACCUUACCUGGUCUUGACAUCCACAGAACUUUCCAGAGAUGCAUUGGUGCCUUCGGGAACUGUGAGACAGGUGCUGCAUGGCUGUCGUCAGCUCGUGUUGUGAAAUGUUGGGUUAAGUCCCGCAACGAGCGCAACCCUUAUCCUUCGUGAACCUUG